CAAACUGGAGAUGGCGACCGGCGCACGGGCGAGUAACACGUAUCCAACCUGCCGAUAACUCGGGGAUAGCCUUUCGAAAGAAAGAUUAAUACCCGAUGGCAUAAUAGAACCGCAUGGUUGAUUAUUAAAGAAUUUCGGUUAUCGAUGGGGAUGCGUUCCAUUAGGCAGUUGGUGGGGUAACGGCCCACCAAACCUUCGAUGGAUAGGGGUUCUGAGAGGAAGGUCCCCCACAUUGGAACUGAGACACGGUCCAAACUCCUACGGGAGGCAGCAUG
rnacentral:rRNA from 1 species